CUCACAGGCCAGGCCAGUGAGGCUGAUCUUUCCCAGCCACAAUCAGACGCCCAGAGACCUAGCCCCAGGGUCUGCGUUUUCUUCUGCGGUCCCAUAAGCCACAUCCUGAGGACAUGGAGGUUUCCUGAAGCUAGGUCACUCCAGGAGGGAGGUGGCCUUGGGCCCUCGUGUCCCCUUGGCCUGGAGGCAGGAGGAGCAACCCUUCCCCAUCAACCACUCUUGCACUGCCGUGCCCAGUGCUGGGCCCCAUAUGAGAACAAGGCUCCCGAGCAGGUGAAGCGGACCCAGGAGCUGCACGUCACACAGAUGGAAGUCCAGCACCUUCCCCUCGGGCCUAUGAGGCAACGGAGUUCCAGACACGUGUAUUCGCCUGACGUCGUCGGUGGCAGCUGCUGUCUGGUCUACCCGGAGGACACACUGCCUCUGAACUAAUAGUUCACAGGUGAGCUGCUUGUCCUCAGAGCGUACCCAUGAGCUGAGGCCCCCCAGGGGGAUAGCAGCCGAGGCUGAGCCGGCUGGUGCUGGGGGGCCCCAGCGUGAUAAGGAAGGGGGCCGGGAGCCGUUGCUGGUUCCCGGGGGACGUGAACACUCUCACUCUGGCCUAGUUCAAGCUACCAGAGAGGCAUCAUUGAAUUUGGAGUUGGGAAGAGACGAGCCAGGAGGAGGCCGCCCCAGCUCCCGGAUGGCUGCUGCCCCGUGCGUGGUUGUUCAGCUCUCCCUGGGGUCUGUGAGCCCCCACAGGCUCUUGCCUGCCUGAGUGGGAGUUUCUUGCUGUUGCUUGCAAGUAUAAAGGCCCUAAGAACCCUCACUGCACCUGUUGGUACAUCAGUCUCAGGGCUUGUGUUCUGGCUUCCAGCUCCUUGAACUUUCCUCCCACCCGGCUGCUCCCUCAAGGGGCGGGAGGGAUAACAAGGCCAAGCAGGAACCCUGGAGAAGGCUGGAAGCCUCACGAGGGGAGGGGGUGGGGGACGGGCUGGUGCUGCAGCCACCCUUCUAAGACCCCUUCCUGGAGCCCCUUCUCCCUGGUCCCUCCCUGGGGGGAGGAGGGGCUCAUAACCAGGC
rnacentral:lncRNA from 1 species